UGGGGAAUUUUGGACAAUGGGCGAAAGCCUGAUCCAGCAAUGCCGCGUGUGUGAAGAAGGCCUUCGGGUUGUAAAGCACUUUUGUCCGGAAAGAAAUCCUUGGCUCUAAUACAGUCGGGGGAUGACGGUACCGGAAGAAUAAGCACCGGCUAACUACGUGCCAGCAGCCGCGGUAAUACGUAGGGUGCAAGCGUUAAUCGGAAUUACUGGGCGUAAAGCGUGCGCAGGCGGUUUGCUAAGACCGAUGUGAAAUCCCCGGGCUCAACCUGGGAACUGCAUUGGUGACUGGCAGGCUAGAGUAUGGCAGAGGGGGGUAGAAUUCCACGUGUAGCAGUGAAAUGCGUAGAGAUGUGGAGGAAUACCGAUGGCGAAGGCAGCCCCCUGGGCCAAUACUGACGCUCGUGCACGAAAGCGUGGGGAGCAAACAGGAUUAGAUACCCUGGUAGUCCACGCCCUAAACGAUGUCAACUAGUUGUUGGGGAUUCAUUUCCUUAGUAACGUAGCUAACGCGUGAAGUUGACCGCCUGGGGAGUACGGUCGGCAAGAUUAAAACUCAAAUGAAUUGACGGGGUCAUAGCUGUUUCCU
rnacentral:rRNA from 1 species